rnacentral:lncRNA from 1 species
UUGCCGCCGUCAGGACAAUGUACAAUUUCAUAAUCGCGGGGAUCAUCACCAAACCACUCUGCUAGAAGACCAGUUACGCCAUCCAUCAUGCAAUCGUCUUCAGUGUCGGAGGAUACAAUAUUCACUUUAGCUGCACGGUCGUACAAAAUAUUUGCAUCUAAGUAUCUAUUGCAAAAUGGAAUAAAACAGUAGUUGAAUCUUAGUCGUGUGGAGUUAGAGCUCAACAUGAUAGAUGUCUAGUUAUAAGAAUGAGCACAAAACAAUUAGGGACGAGGAAUGAGCACAAACGAAUUCGAGAGGACCAGGGAUUUGAAGUGGGAGGCUUAUUUAUAAGUGGACAUAUAGAGGAGGGAGGUAUAAGGGUGUGCCUUUCAACACAGUAGAUGUACCUAGCUGUGCUCAUUUAGAGUAGGGAGGUAUAUGGGUGUUUCAAACAUGGAUUAAAGUGUGACCCAUUCUAAU